AGCGAACGCUGGCGGCAGGCUUAACACAUGCAAGUCGAACGCAUCCUUCGGGGUGAGUGGCAGACGGGUGAGUAACACGUGGGAACGUACCUCUUUGUUCGGAAUAGCUUUUGGAAACGAAAGGUAAUACCGGAUACGCCCUUUUGGGGAAAGAUUUAUCGCAGAGAGAUCGGCCCGCGUCUGAUUAGCUAGUUGGUGAGGUAAUGGCUCACCAAGGCGUCGAUCAGUAGCUGGUCUGAGAGGAUGAGCAGCCACACUGGGACUGAGACACGGCCCAGACUCCUACGGGAGGCAGCAGUGGGGAGUAUUGGACAAUGGGCGCAAGCCUGAUCAGCCAUGCCGCGUGAGUGAUGAAGGCCUUAGGGUUGUAAAGCUCUUUUGUCCGGGAAGAUAAUGACUGUACCGGAAGAAUAAGCCCCGGCUAACUUCGUGCCAGCAGCCGCCGUAA
rnacentral:rRNA from 1 species